CCUUCUGUGGUGUAGUUGGUAGCGCAUUGGCUUUUUAACUACAAGUCCUAGGUUCAAGUCCCGGUCGGGGGA